UGGGCGUUAAGUUGCAGGGUAUAGACCCGAAACCCGGUGAUCUAGCCAUGGGCAGGUUGAAGGUUGGGUAACACUAACUGGAGGACCGAACCGACUAAUGUUGAAAAAUUAGCGGAUGACCUGUGGCUGGGGGUGAAAGGCCAAUCAAACCGGGAGAUAGCUGGUUCUCCCCGAAAGCUAUUUAGGUAGCGCCUCGUGAAUUCAUCUCCGGGGGUAGAGCACUGUUUCGGCUAGGGGGCCAUCCCGGCUUACCAACCCGAUGCAAACUGCGAAUACCGGAGAAUGUUAUCACGGGAGACACACGGCGGGUGCUAACGUCCGUCGUGAAGAGGGAAACAACCCAGACCGCCAGCUAAGGUCCCAAAGUCAUGGUUAAGUGGGAAACGAUGUGGGAAGGCCCAGACAGCCAGGAUGUUGGCUUAGAAGCAGCCAUCAUUUAAAGAAAGCGUAAUAGCUCACUGGUCGAGUCGGCCUGCGCGGAAGAUGUAACGGGGCUAAACCAUGCACCGAAGCUGCGGCAGCGAACGUAUCACCCAAGACAACUUUACGGAGUUGACGAUUGACGGAGCGAAGCGACGUCAAAGCGUUCAUUAAAGUCGAGUUGGCUUAGGGAUACGUUCGUUGGGUAGGGGAGCGUUCUGUAAGCCUGUGAAGGUGUGUCGUGAGGCAUGCUGGAGGUAUCAGAAGUGCGAAUGCUGACAUAAGUAACGAUAAAGCGGGUGAAAAGCCCGCUCGCCGGAAGACCAAGGGUUCCUGUCCAACGUUAAUCGGGGCAGGGUGAGUCGACCCCUAAGGCGAGGCCGAAAGGCGUAGUCGAUGGGAAACGGGUUAAUAUUCCCGUACUUGGUGUUACUGCGAAGGGGGGACGGAGAAGGCUAUGUUGGCCGGGCGACGGUUGUCCCGGUUUAAGCGUGUAGGUGUGUGUUCCAGGUAAAUCCGGUUCACUUUAACACUGAGGCGUGACGACGAGGCACUACGGUGCUGAAGCAACAAAUGCCCUGCUUCCAGGAAAAGCCUCUAAGCAUCAGGUAACACGAAAUCGUACCCCAAACCGACACAGGUGGUCAGGUAGAGAAUACCAAGGCGCUUGAGAGAACUCGGGUGAAGGAACUAGGCAAAAUGGUGCCGUAACUUCGGGAGAAGGCACGCUGACACGUAGGUGAAGUGAUUUACUCAUGGAGCUGAAGUCAGUCGAAGAUACCAGCUGGCUGCAACUGUUUAUUAAAAACACAGCACUGUGCAAACACGAAAGUGGACGUAUACGGUGUGACGCCUGCCCGGUGCCGGAA
rnacentral:rRNA from 1 species